UGAUUGGUAUCGCUGCAGAGUUCCUUGA
rnacentral:sRNA from 1 species